GGGCCCGUGGGGUAGCUUGGCAUCCUUCCAGCUAAUCCUUCUCCAAAAGCGCUAGCGGAAAGGGUCUGGAAUGGGGUGCUGGUAACCCGAGUUCAAAUCUCGGCGGGCCCA
rnacentral:tRNA from 1 species